AACGAACGCUGGCGGCAUGCCUAACACAUGCCAGUCGAACGAGACCUUCGGGUCUAGUGGCGCACGGGUGCGUAACGCGUGGGAACCUGCCCUUAGGUUCGGAAUAACUCCCCGAAAGGGGUGCUAAUACAGGAUAAUGUCUUCGGACCAAAGAUUUAUCGCCUUUGGAUGGGCCCGCGUUGGAUUAGCUAGUUGGUAGGGUAAAAGCCUACCAAGGCGACGUUCCAUAGCUGGUCUGAGAGGAUGAUCAGCCACACUGGGACUGAGACACGGCCCAGACUCGGACGGGAGGCAGCAGUGGGGAAUAUUGUACAAUGGGCGAAAGCCUGAUCCAGCAAUGCCGCGUGAGUGAGGAAGGCCUUAGGGUUGUAAAGCUCUUUUACCCGGGAUGAUAAUGACAGUACCGGGAGAAUAAGCACCGGCUAACUCCGUG
rnacentral:rRNA from 1 species